rnacentral:rRNA from 1 species
CCUACGGGAGGCAGCAGUGAGGAAUAUUGGUCAAUGGCCGAAAGGCUGAACCAGCCAAGUCGCGUGAGGGAAGACGGCCCUACGGGUUGUAAACCUCUUUUGUCGGGGAGCAAAGCGAGUCACGUGUGACUCAUUGAGAGUACCCGAAGAAAAAGCAUGGGUUAACUCUGAGCCAGCAGCCGCGGUAAUACGGAGGAUGCGAGGGUUAUAGGGAUUUAUUGGGUUUAAGGGGUGGUCAGGCGGAGGUGCAAGUCAGCGGUCAAAUUGCGGGGCUCAACCCCGUACUGCCGUUGAAACUGCAGCCCUUGAGUGCGCGAGAAGUAUGCGGAAUGCGUGGUGUAGCGGUGAAAUGCAUAGAUAUCACGCAGAACUCCGAUUGCGAAGGCAGCAUACCGGCGCGCAACUGACGCUCAUGCACGAAAGCGUGGGUAUCGAACAGGAUUAGAUACCCUAGUAGUC